ACUAGGCUGGCUUAGUCGGUAGAGCAUGGGGCUCUUGAUCUCAGGGUCAUGAGUUUGAGCCCCAUGUUGGGUG
rfam:Mustela putorius furo unplaced genomic scaffold scaffold00032, whole genome shotgun sequence.